rnacentral:rRNA from 1 species
UAAGGAAUAUUGGACAAUGGCCGCAAGGCUGAUCCAGCCAUCCAGCGUGCAGGAAGAAGGCCCUAUGGGUUGUAAACUGCUUUUGUCAGGGAAUAAACCUGUGGAUUUACUCCGCAGCUGAAGGUACCUGAAGAAUAAGCACCGGCUAACUCCGUGCCAGCAGCCGCGGUAAUACGGAGGGUGCGAGCGUUAUCCGGAAUUACUGGGUUUAAAGGGUGCGUAGGCGGCGUAUUAAGUCAGGAGUGAAAGUUUGCGGCUCAACCGUAAAAUUGCUUUUGAUACUGGUAUGCUAGAAUUAGGAUGAGGUCAGCGGAAUGUGGCAUGUAGCGGUGAAAUGCAUAGAUAUGCCAUAGAACACCAAUUGCGAAGGCAGCUGGCUAGACCUGGAUUGACGCUGAGGCACGAAAGCGUGGGGAGCGAACAGG